rnacentral:rRNA from 1 species
GACGAACGCUGGCGGCGUGCCUAAUACAUGCAAGUCGAACGCAGUGGGGACGGGUGAGUAACAAGUGGGUAACCUCCCAUCAGAGGGGAUAACACUUGGAAACAGGUGAUAAAACGAUACUGAUGGAUGGACCCGCUGUGCAUUAGCUAGUUGGGGAGGUAACGGCUCACCAAGGGCACGAUGCAUCGCGGACCUGAGAGGGUGUUCGGCAACACUGGGACUGAGACAGGGCCCAGAGUCCUACGGGAGGCAGCAGUAGGAAAUUUGCGGCAAUGUCCGAAGGUCUGACCGAGCAACGCCGCGUGAGUGAAUAAGGUUUCGGAUCGUAAAACUCUGUCGUUAGAGAAGCGGUAUCUAACCAGAAAGCCACGGCUAACUACGUGCCAGCAGCCGCGGUAAUUC